AUUGUGAUUGGAUAACUUUUGGAAGAACCUUCCAAAAGUCAACAGAGAACUUUAGCGUUCUUUUAGCGCAAGGAUGACACGCAAAUUCGUGAAGCGUUCCAAAUUUUU